rnacentral:rRNA from 1 species
UACGAACCGUCCAAACGUUAUUCGGAAUUACUGGGUUUAAAGGGUACGUAGGCGGCGCUGUUAGUCGGGUGUGAAAGCCUCGGCUCAACCGAGGAAUUGCGCCCGAUACUGCAGUGCUUGAGGGAGACAGAGGUAAGCGGAACUGAUGGUGGAGCGGUGAAAUGCGUUGAUAUCAUCAGGAACACCGGUGGCGAAAGCGGCUUACUGGGUCUCUUCUGACGCUGAGGUACGAAAGCCAGGGGAGCGAAGGGG